rnacentral:rRNA from 1 species
GACGAACGCUGGCGGCGUGCUUAACACAUGCAAGUCGAACGGUGAAAGCGGAGCUUGCUCCGCUGGAUCAGUGGCGAACGGGUGAGUAACACGUGGGCAACCUGCCCCUCACUUCGGGAUAACUCCGGGAAACCGGGGCUAAUACCGGAUAUGACCUCCUUGGGCAUCCUUGGAGGUGGAAAGUUUUUCGGUGAGGGAUGGGCCCGCGGCCUAUCAGCUUGUUGGUGAGGUAGUGGCUCACCAAGGCGACGACGGGUAGCCGGCCUGAGAGGGCGACCGGCCACACUGGGACUGAGACACGGCCCAGACUCCUACGGGAGGCAGCAGUGGGGAAUAUCGCGCAAUGGGCGAAAGCCUGACGCAGCAACGCCGCGUGCGGGAUGACGGCCUUCGGGUUGUAAACCGCUUUCAGCAGGGAAGAAGCCGCAAGGUGACGGUACCUGCAGAAGGAGCACCGGCUAACUACGUGCCAGCCGCCGCAGUAA